CUCCGGUUGAUCCCGCCGGGACCUGACUGCUAUCGGAUUGGUACUAAGCCAUGCGAGUCACUGUAGCAAUACAAGGCGGACGGCUCAGUAACACGUAGUCAACCUAACUCGUGGACGUGGAUAACCUCGGGAAACUGAGAAUAAACCACGAUAGAUCAUAGUGCCUGGAAUGGCUUAUGGUCCAAACAGUUUACUGCCAUGGGAUGGGACUGCGGCCUAUCAGCUUGUUGGUGAGGUAAUGGCCCACCAAGGCGAUUACAGGUACGGGCUCUGAGAGGAGAAGCCCGGAGAUGGGUACUGAGACACGGACCCAGGCCCUAUGGGGCGCAGCAGGCGCGAAACCUCUGCAAUAGGCGAAAGCCUGACAGGGUUACUCUGAGUGAUUUCCGCUAAGGGGAUCUUUUGGCACCUCUAAAAAUGGUGCAGAAUAAGGGGUGGGCAAGUCUGGUGUCAGCCGCCGCGGUAAUACCAGCACCCCGAGUGGUCGGGACGAUUAUUGGGCCUAAAGCAUCCGUAGCCGGUUCUGCAAGUCUUCCGUUAAAUCCAGCCGCUCAACGGAUGGGCCGCGGAGGAUACUACAGGACUAGGAGGCGGGAGAGGCAAGCGGUACUCAGUGGGUAGGGGUAAAAUCCUUUGAUCCAUUGAAGACCACCAGUGGCGAAGGCGGCUUGCCAGAACGCGCUCGACGGUGAGGGAUGAAAGCUGGGGGAGCAAACCGGAUUAGAUACCCGGGUAGUCCCAGCUGUAAACGAUGCAGACUCGGUGAUGGGCUAGCCUUGUGCCAGCCCAGUGCCGCAGGGAAGCCGUUAAGUCUGCCGCCUGGGAGUACGGUCGCAAGACUGAAACUUAAAGGAAUUGGCGGGGAGCA
rnacentral:rRNA from 1 species